rnacentral:rRNA from 1 species
AGAGUUUGAUCAUGGCUCAGAAUCAACGCUGGCGGCGCGCCUAACACAUGCAAGUCGAACGAGAAAGUGGAGCAAUCCAUGAGUAAAGUGGCGUACGGGUGAGUAACACGUGGGUAAUCUACCUCUUAGUGGGGAAUAACGAUGGGAAACCGUCGCUAAUACCGCAUAAGCUCGAGAGAGGAAAGCAGCAAUGCGCUGAGAGAGGAGCCCGCGGCCGAUUAGCUAGUUGGCAGGGUAAAAGCCUACCAAGGCAAAGAUCGGUAGCCGGCCUGAGAGGGCACACGGCCACACUGGCACUGAAACACGGGCCAGACUCCUACGGGAGGCAGCAGUGGGGAAUCUUGCACAAUGGGGGAAACCCUGAUGCAGCGACGCCGCGUGAGCGAUGAAGCCCUUCGGGGUGUAAAGCUCUUUCGGCAGGGAAGAUUAUGACGGUACCUGCAGAAGCAGCUGCGGCUAACUACGUGCCAGCAGCCGCGGUAAUACGUAGGCAGCAAGCGUUGUUCGGAGUUACUGGGCGUAAAGGGUGUGUAGGCGGUUGUUUAAGUUUGGUGUGAAAUCUCCCGGCUUAACUGGGAGGGUGCGCCGAAUACUGAAUGCCUAGAGUGCGGGAGAGGUGAGUGGAAUUCCUGGUGUAGCGGUGAAAUGCGUAGAUAUCAGGAGGAACACCGGUGGUGUAGACGGCUCACUGGACCGUAACUGACGCUGAAACACGAAAGCGUGGGUAGCAAACAGGAUUAGAUACCCUAGUAGUCC